CUGCAACUGUUUAUUAAAAACACAGCACUGUGCAAACACGAAAGUGGACGUAUACGGUGUGACGCCUGCCCGGUGCCGGAAGGUUAAUUGAUGGGGUCAGCGCAAGCGAAGCUCCUGAUCGAAGCCCCGGUAAACGGCGGCCGUAACUAUAACGGUCCUAAGGUAGCGAAAUUCCUUGUCGGGUAAGUUCCGACCUGCACGAAUGGCGUAAUGAUGGCCAGGCUGUCUCCACCCGAGACUCAGUGAAAUUGAACUCGCUGUGAAGAUGCAGUGUACCCGCGGCAAGACGGAAAGACCCCGUGAACCUUUACUAUAGCUUGACACUGAACAUUGAGCCUUGAUGUGUAGGAUAGGUGGGAGGCUUUGAAGUGUGGACGCCAGUCUGCAUGGAGCCGACCUUGAAAUACCACCCUUUAAUGUUUGAUGUUCUAACGUGGACCCGUUACCCGGGUUGCGGACAGUGUCUGGUGGGUAGUUUGACUGGGGCGGUCUCCUCCUAAAGAGUAACGGAGGAGCACGAAGGUUGGCUAAUCCUGGUCGGACAUCAGGAGGUUAGUGCAAUGGCAUAAGCCAGCUUGACUGCGAGCGUGACGGCGCGAGCAGGUGCGAAAGCAGGUCAUAGUGAUCCGGUGGUUCUGAAUGGAAGGGCCAUCGCUCAACGGAUAAAAGGUACUCCGGGGAUAACAGGCUGAUACCGCCCAAGAGUUCAUAUCGACGGCGGUGUUUGGCACCUCGAUGUCGGCUCAUCACAUCCUGGGGCUGAAGUAGGUCCCAAGGGUAUGGCUGUUCGCCAUUUAAAGUGGUACGCGAGCUGGGUUUAGAACGUCGUGAGACAGUUCGGUCCCUAUCUGCCGUGGGCGCUGGAGAACUGAGGGGGGCUGCUCCUAGUACGAGAGGACCGGAGUGGACGCAUCACUGGUGUUCGGGUUGUCAUGCCAAUGGCACUGCCCGGUAGCUAAAUGCGGAAGAGAUAAGUGCUGAAAGCAUCUAAGCACGAAACUUGCCCCGAGAUGAGUUCUCCCUGAGACUUUAGGUCUCCUGAAGGAACGUUGAAGACGACGACGUUGAUAGGCCGGGUGUGUAAGCGCAGCGAUGCGUUGAGCUAACCGGUACUAAUGAACCGUGAGGCUUAACCUU
rnacentral:rRNA from 1 species